GUACUCGGUGACACCAUGCUGUCGGGAGAGAGAGCGAGCGAGCGAGCGAGCAGAGAGAGAAGAGAGGGAGGGAGGGAGGGAGAGAGAGAUAGGGAUUUGGUGAGAGGAAGGCAUGCGGCUUACAGGCAGACAGAGUCACGGGGUGUACGAUUCGAGGGAGAGAAAGAGAGGGGAUUUAGUGGUGAUGCUCGAUUUGGGAAGAGAAAGAGAGAGAGAGAGCGGGAUUUUGGGGUUAGGCGAACUCCUUGACAGCUUGCAGCUCCCUGCUCCGCCUUCAGAUUCGUCGCAUAUACCAGCCGAAAUGGCUAGGGCCUUGUGACUAGGGAUUGCAGAGGUACAGAGAGAGGGGGAGUGGGCGGGAGUUGGGAUGGCGGUCGAGUUCAGGUCUGGCUUGGGCGACGCCUGGUACGACGUCCUGAUAGCGAAGGACGGCUGUGUUCGACUGAGAGUGAAGUUCGUCGGCUUCGGCGACGACCAUGACGAGGAUUAUGAAGGUGAGCGAGUUGAGUUCGUUCAACGACAUCGACGAGUUCAGGCGGAGGUUCAGGCAGGUGUCCGUACAAGUUCAGGGCACGGAGUGCAUCUUUGCCUCGACUAAUACAGCGCCGUUUUCUUAGCACCACCACCACCAAUGUCUUAAAGAAAUGGGCCGUGAAGGAAGUGACGAAGUCCAAUUUUCCCGAGUUCCUGGAGGAGUUCAAGAACCACCUGUCCACUUCCGACUUCGUGCCCAUCUCGCUUUGACACCGCCGACAAGUCGUAUUGCAAGGCUAACUACGCCGCCGAGCGGUUCUAGCUUCUCCAGUUCGCCGCCUGCCCUUUCACUCUCAGAGCCUCCAAGCUUAACCCUUAACCUUCCGUAUAUUCUCACUAUAUAAAUUUAUAUGUAUGUAUCUAUAGAAUGUGAUUUGAUGAUUUGUGUUUGCUGAUUUUGGUGCACAGACAACUUCGAUUGUUCCCAAGGGAUGUAAUGAAGAUGGGGAUGCCAACUUAUAGCUUUUCAGUUCAAACAUCACAUUUGACUUCCAUGGCGGAAGAAGGUUUUGAUUUCACUGCCUGCAUAUAUAAUGCAGCUAUGUUGGUCUCUCCUCACCUCUCCUUUUUGGCGCAGGAGCGUGGAUUAGAUUCUGCAGAUUUGAUUUCAUUCCUGGCAUAUAACAUAAAUACAUUGAAUGAGAGGCAAAAGAAUGUGGUCAAGGAUCUUGCAGAUUUGGGACUGAUCAAACUUCAGCAGGUUAUACUUUUGUGAUUUAUUUUUGGUAUAAUGUGCACUAAAUUGGUAAUAAUUUCCCAGAUGACAGUUUAACCAUUUCCUGACUCCAAGUUUUAAAUUUCUAUCUUUUUGUGUACUUAUCCAGGGAAGGAAAGGCAGUUGGUUUAUACCUACUAACGUAGCUUCUAAUCUUUUAGUUAGCUUAUUUGUACUCAUUCUAGCUUUGUCUCUAAUCGGUUAUUCCACAACUAAUUCCAUAUCAUCAAGAAAACUGAUGUGCAUCCAUACAUGCUACUUACGAAUUUUUUACUCACUUUUUUGUUCAGGGAUUUGUUGAAGUGGAAACAAACUUCAGGCUCUAUGCCUACUCAAUAUCUAAACUACAUUGUGAAAUUUUAUGUCUUUUCCUAGCUGCUUUCCCCUUUUAGGUACAAUUGCAUGUUUUAGUUUGAUUUUAGGGAGCUCUUGUAAUGGAAUCUUCCCCUUUUGCAAUAUAUUGAACAUAAGACCUACCCCUACACGGGGGCGGAUCGACAGUGGGUUAAAGUUGGUCAGUUGACCACAUGGACGCUGGAAAGUUGGCUGGGGAGAGCACCCAAAUUGUUUCUCGCAUCUUGGUUAAGGCACUGAUGGCAAUGCUGUCUCCUGAUUUCAGCCUUUGUCUCUGCUUAAUUCCAGAAAGAGUGAGCAGACUUUCAUUGUAUUAGAUAAGCAAUUGGUUGUGGGAGAGUUCAGCCAUGGAGAGCCUCAUGGGGAAGCCACUGGAAAGAGGCCGCAUGAAAAUUUCUCUUAUGGGAGUUAUGAAGGAGUUGGGGAGGAUGAACAGUCUUGCUGUCAAAUUUAAUUACGACCGAGGAACGCUCAUGCUACCGUUUUCCUUCGGAUGUACUUUGGCUCUGCUUUUAAAGCGGCUGUAAAGAGUUCUGAGCAUUAAGUAUGACUCUUAAACACAACCAAACCGCACCUCCUCCAAAUUAGUAUCCGGAUCGUUGAUAUAUAUUAGUAGAAUUUGAUCCAACGGCUCUCGCGUUGAAUUUUUUCUCAUCAUUUAAUUCUAAGCUUGACACUUCGUUUCAUUUUUGGUAAAUAAGAGCAUCUUCAAAGGAGAUGUCAAAUAUAAAAUUUUAUUUGAUGGCUGAUAUGGCAAAUUGAAUAUGAGUGUUAAAUUAUCUUCUUUUCCAAUGGAUGUGUUAAAUAUUUAUUUUAUUGGGCCUAGAGUUACAUUAACUGUUAAAAAAUAAUUGUAGUUUUUAUUCUAUUGAUUGUUAAUGGGACUCGUGUAUUAAAAAAUUCAAUUAAAUAUAUUUGACUCCUUUGUUUGCUGUUAAAAAAGGCAGCCAGAAAGCAAGGAGUCAAAGGACUCACAUGCCACAUCGUAUAUGGCAGCAUAUCCAUUGGAGAACAACUGAAUGUCUUUUAAUCCUAUUUACCAUAUUUGACGUCUUUUUUGGAGUUGGACUAAACUGACUCCUUUUAUAUUUAUAUUUUUUUCUUCUUUCUUUUUCUCGUAUAGUCUAUUUAUUUCCCUUUACUAAUUGCGUUCUGCUAAUUGCUCCACACGUUAUAAAUUACUUUGAGAUUUGCUAGGCAGAGUCGCCUAUAAAGCAAGUUUUAUAGGCAAGUUUGGAAAGAAUCGGGGUGUUUCAUUAAGAUUUUCUUUAAAAAAAUCAAUUAAAACCUCCUUAUUCUUUUAUUUUUGCCCUUUUGAUUAUACCAAAAGACACAUCAGUCAUAGUCUCUUUCAACUCUGAAAGAUUUUUUAGUAUGAUCAAAACAUGGGAUGAUACAUCAUAAUUUAUUAUACAUAUAGUAGGAUAUGCGUAUUGAAAAAUUAAUAACGUGACAAUUAAAAUUUUUCACCAUUUGUAUAAAAACACAUGGUAUACAACUUAUGUUCCGGUCAUAAUGAAAAAUAUCUGCUCAACACCAAAGUUUUUGUCCAACACACCGAGCAAUCCACCAAUCUCCACCGUGAAAAGCACGAUGAACCACAACGAACGACAUCAACCUGCAAUUGCAAACCCAGUACAAAACCUACGAAUAAACAUUGAAGAAAAUCCCUCGCUACAGGACAAAGCAAACUAUAAAAUAUUUACACAUAAAAUGUCCAAAUUUUUCUGAUUGCAAAUGGUGCAUACAAGCCACGAAUUUAAGUCAACCUUCCCACCAAUUAUUUUUAUGGAGACAUUUUGCUCCGCUAAUUGCUCGAGCAAAUAUUUUGGGAGACUUUCUGAAAAACCAAGGGGAUCUCUUUAAUGUAUUGUCCCUCCAUAAUCUCUCCUAAAUACACAUUAAUCUACAUGACAUGCAUUUGUCUGAUGGUUUAGGAGGGUUUAGGGUUUAGGGGAAGAAAUGUCAAGCUCUCCUAAACCCACACAUUAAUCUAAACCAUUUGUCCAAAUGUAAUUACGAUUUGUUUGAUGUGUGAUAGUAUCGAGGUUUUAUACUUAUUUUCUUAUCCUCCAUGGAUCCUUAACUUGGAGUAAAUUCGGUGAUAGCAUUUUUAAGUUAGAUGUUAGAUUAACUAUUGACGGGGUCAAAUUCAUGCCGUUAUGCAAGAGCAAGAUACAUUUCUACCACUGUGGUUAAAAGCCACUUGCGUCCAAACUCCCUUUAAACACACAACUUUUGGUAGGCCAAAAGACAAAACCCUAAAGUCAAAGCUCUAAAUGAUGAAUUUUUACUCUGAAAUAAUAAAAACCUAAAGUCGAAGCCCUAAAUGAUGAAUUUGUACUUUGAAACAAUAAACUAUGUUGAUAAAUGAGAUCAAAAUUGAAAAAAAAAAAAAAAAAAAAAGAUGAAUACAAGUGAGAUUUUCUCAAUGCUUGUCAUGCGACAUCUUAAUACGAAGACUAAGAGACAUCGUGACAGCAAGGCGAGGCGCUAGUGAUGAGGAUGUUUCGCUUGCAAGAUAUUGAGAGCUGGGGGACCCUAUCGAAUCUCAUUUCUUCUCCUUCUAGACAAAAAAUGACUAUAAUAUAUCGAUUUACUCGUGACAUGGGAGAGAAAGCAAGACGGAGGGCGGGACGUAACGGCUUGCAAGUCAUCAUAGUCGUAGAGAGCGAUUGGCCGAGUCAGAUGCUUGUUCAUAUGAGAAGAGAGUUCAGUUUCAUGGGUUUAUAGCUUAUACCACCAUAUUUAAACAAUCAUCUUUCAUCCCUCCCUUGAGUCAGAUGCCUGAGCCAUGUCAUAUCAUAUUGUCUCAACAAAAUCUUACGUGUUUAAAAAUAUAAUAAAACAGAUGUCCCUUCAACUUA